rnacentral:rRNA from 1 species
UACGUAGGGGGCUAGCGUUGUCCGGAAUCAUUGGGCGUAAAGAGCGUGUAGGCGGUCCGGUAAGUCCGCUGUGAAAGUCGGGGGCUCAACCCUCGAAUGCCGGUGGAUACUGUCGGGCUAGAGUGCGGAAGAGGCGAGUGGAAUUCCCAGUGUAGUGGUGAAAUACGUAGAGAUUGGGAAGAACACCAGUGGCGAAGGCGGCUAUCUGGACGGUUUCUGACGCUAAGGACGCGAAAGCGUGGGGAGCAAACAGG